rnacentral:rRNA from 1 species
UACGUAGGGUGCAAGCGUUAAUCGGAAUUACUGGGCGUAAAGCGUGCGCAGGCGGUGAUGUAAGACAGGUGUGAAAUCCCCGGGCUUAACCUGGGAACUGCAUUUGUGACUGCAUGGCUAGAGUGUGGCAGAGGGGGAUGGAAUUCCGCGUGUAGCAGUGAAAUGCGUAGAUAUGCGGAGGAACACCGAUGGCGAAGGCAGUCCCCUGGGCCUGCACUGACACUCAUGCACGAAAGCGUGGGGAGCAAACAGG